rnacentral:rRNA from 1 species
GAGGCAGCAGCAAGGAAUUUUCGGCAAUGGGCGCAAGCUGACCGAGCAACGCCGCGUGCGGGAUGACGGCCUUCGGGUUGUAAACCGCUUUUCGGGGGGACGAUGAUGACGGUACCCCCGGAACAAGCCCCGGCUAACUCUGUGCCAGCAGCCGCGGUAAGACAGAGGGGGCGAGCGUUUUCCGGAGUCACUGGGCGUAAAGCGCGCGCAGGCGGUCGCCAAAGUGUCGUGUGAAAGCCCCCGGCUCAACCGGGGGAGGCCAUGGCAAACUCGGCGACUGGAGCGGCGGAGAGGCCCCUCGAAUUUCCGGUGUAGCGGUGAAAUUCGUAGAGAUCGGCAGAAGACCAAGGGGGAAGCCAGGGGGCUGGCCGCUGGCUGACGCUGAGGCGCGACAGCGUGGGGGAGCGAACCGGAUUCGAUACCCGGGUAGUCCACGCCGUAAACAAUGACCACUCGGCGUGCGGCGACUAUUGACGUCGCGGUGCGCCUUAGCUCACGCGCUAAGUGGUCCGCCUGGGAACUACGAGCGCAAGCUUAAAACUCAAAGAAUUGACGGGGGCCCGCACAAGCAGCGGAGCGUGUGGUUUAAUUCGAGGCAACCCGAAGAACCUUACCCAGGCUUGACAUGACGGUGCAGACGGCGGAAACGCCGUCGCCUGCGAGGGUCCGUCACAGGUGCUGCAUGGCUGUCGUCAGCUCGUGUCGUGAGAUGUUGGGUUAAGUCCCGCAACGAGCGCAACCCUGCGGUUAGUUAUGCGUGUCUAACCGGACUGCCUUCGGGGAGGAAGGCGGGGAUGACGUCAAGUCCGCAUGGCCCUGACGCCUGGGGCGACACACACGCUACAAUGGCGCCGACAAUGCGUUCGCUCCCGCGCAAGCGGAUGCUAAUCGCCAAACGGCGCCCCAGUGCAGAUCGGGGGCUGCAACUCGCCCCCGUGAAGGCGGAGUUGCUAGUAAC